CUCAAAUGAAUUGACGGGGGCCCGCACAAGCGGUGGAGCAUGUGGUUUAAUUCGAUGCAACGCGAAGAACCUUACCUGGCCUUGACAUCCAGAGAACUUANCAGAGAUGCUUUGGUGCCUUCGGGAACUCUGAGACAGGUGCUGCAUGGCUGUCGUCAGCUCGUGUUGGGAAAUGUUGGGUUAAGUCCCGCAACGAGCGCAACCCUUAUCCUUUGUUGCCAGCGGUUCGGCCGGGAACUCAAAGGAGACUGCCGGUGAUAAACCGGAGGAAGGUGGGGAUGACGUCAAGUCAUCAUGGCCCUUACGGCCAGGGCUACACACGUGCUACAAUGGCGCAUACAAAGAGAAGCGACCUCGCGAGAGCAAGCGGACCUCAUAAAGUGCGUCGUAGUCCGGAUUGGAGUCUGCAACUCGACUCCAUGAAGUCGGAAUCGCUAGUAAUCGUAGAUCAGAAUGCUACGGUGAAUACGUUCCCGGGCCUUGUACACACCGCCCGUCACACCAUGGGAGUGGGUUGCAAAAGAAGUAGGUAGCUUAACCUUCGGGAGGGCGCUUACCACUUUGUGAU
rnacentral:rRNA from 1 species